rnacentral:rRNA from 1 species
UCGAGGAUCUUCGUCAAUGGGCGCAAGCCUGAACGAGCGAUGCCGCGUGAGCGAUGAAGGCCUUCGGGUUGUAAAGCUCAAAAGGGAUGAGAAAGGGCAACUUGAUCGAAUCCCAGUAAGCUCGGGCUAAGUUCGUGCCAGCAGCCGCGGUAAGACGAACCGAGCGAACGUUGUUCGGAAUCACUGGGCUUAAAGGGCGCGUAGGCGGGUUCGCAAGUCUGUGGUGAAAUCCUCCGGCUCAACCGGAGAACGGCCUCGGAUACUGCGGGUCUCGAGGGUGAUAGGGGUAUGCGGAACUAUCGGUGGAGCGGUGAAAUGCGUUGAUAUCGAUAGGAACUCCGGUGGCGAAGGCGGCAUACUGGAUCACUUCUGACGCUGAGGCGCGAAAGCCAGGGGAGCAAACGG